GACGAACGCUGGCGGCGUGCUUAACACAUGCAAGUCGAACGGAAAGGCCCUGCUUUUGUGGGGUGCUCGAGUGGCGAACGGGUGAGUAACACGUGAGUAACCUGCCCUUGACUUUGGGAUAACUUCAGGAAACUGGGGCUAAUACCGGAUAGGAGCUCCUGCUGCUUGGGGGGGGUUGGAAAGUUUCGGCGGUUGGGGAUGGACUUGCGGCUUAUCAGCUUGUUGGUGGGGUAGUGGCUUACAAAGGCUUUGACGGGUAGCCGGCCUGAGAGGGUGACCGGCCACAUUGGGACUGAGAUACGGCCCAGACUCCUACGGGAGGCAGCAGUGGGGAAUAUUGCACAAUGGGCGGAAGCCUGAUGCAGCAACGCCGCGUGCGGGAUGACGGCCUUCGGGUUGUAAACCGCUUUCGCCUGUGACGAAGCGUGAGUGACGGUAAUGGGUAAAGAAGCACCGGCUAACUACGUG
rnacentral:rRNA from 1 species